rnacentral:rRNA from 1 species
CGCGUAGGCGGCCAAUUAAGUCAAAUGUGAAAUCCCCGAGCUUAACUUGGGAAUUGCAUUCGAUACUGGUUGGCUAGAGUGUGGGAGAGGAUGGUAGAAUUCCAGGUGUAGCGGUGAAAUGCGUAGAGAUCUGGAGGAAUACCAAUUGCGAAGGCAAGGUACUACCAACAGAUUGACGCUGAUGGACGAAAGCGUGGGGAGCAAACAGGAUUAGAUACCCCUGUA